UCAAGUGCCAAUUGGGUGUUCGGUGGAUGCCUUGCCAAUUGGGUGUUCGGUGGAUGCCU
rnacentral:rRNA from 1 species